AACCAGUGCAGACUGGCGUGCCCCAGGGAUCUCGGGGUGAAUACCUCACUCUCAAGCACAACUAGGAGG
rnacentral:pre_miRNA from 1 species